UACGAAGGGGGCUAGCGUUGCUCGGAAUCACUGGGCGUAAAGCGCACGUAGGCGGCGCGGUAAGUCGGGUGUGAAAUCUUGGAGCUUAACUCCGAAACUGCAUUCGAUACUGCCGUGCUUGAGGACUGGAGAGGAGACUGGAAUUUACGGUGUAGCGGUGAAAUGCGUAGAUAUCGUAAGGAAGACCAGUGGCGAAGGCGGGUCUCUAGACAGUUCCUGACGCUGAAGUACGAAGGCCAGGGGAGCAAACGGG
rnacentral:rRNA from 1 species